rnacentral:rRNA from 1 species
UACGGAGGGUGCAAGCGUUGUUCGGAAUUAUUGGGCGUAAAGCGCGUGUAGGCGGUCGGGUAAGUCAGGUGUGAAAGCCUUUCGCUUAACGGAAGAAGUGCAUUUGAAACUGCUCGGCUUGAGUACGGGAGAGGAGAGUGGAAUUCCCGGUGUAGAGGUGAAAUUCGUAGAUAUCGGGAGGAACACCGGUGGCGAAGGCGGCUCUCUGGUCCGAUACUGACGCUGAGACGCGAAAGCGUGGGGAGCAAACAGG